CCAUGAGUAGUGCAAAUGGUUAACACGCUUGGCUUCUAACCAAAAGGUUGGUGGUUCGAGUCCACCUUUGGA
rnacentral:tRNA from 1 species